AUCUCUUUGGAGACAUCUGAUAAAAUUGAAACGUUACGGAGAAUAUUAACAUGGCCCCUGUGAAAGGAUGACAGAUAAAAAUUGAAAAGUGGUCCAUGAAUUU
rnacentral:snRNA from 1 species